GUUUUAGUAAUUUAAUUAAAAUACUGGUCUUGUAAAUCAGAAAUAAGACACUUUCUUUUAAAACU
rnacentral:tRNA from 1 species